rnacentral:rRNA from 1 species
UACGACUACAUAUCAGGCAUAUCAAUAAGCGGAGGAAAAGAAACUAACAAGGAUUCCCUUAGUAACGGCGAGUGAAGCGGGAAGAGCUCAAAUUUGAAAUCUUCAAGGUUUUACCUUGACGAAUUGUAGUUUAAAGAAGUGUUUUCUGUUGGAGUUUUGGUAAAAGUUCUUUGGAAUAGGACAUCAUAGAGGGUGAGAAUCCCGUAUUUGACCAUUCCUUCCAGCUGUGUGAUACACUUUCAAAGAGUCGGAUUGUUUGGGAAUGCAGUCCAAAAUGGGUGGUAAAUUUCAUCUAAAGCUAAAUAUUGGCGAGAGACCGAUAGCGAACAAGUACCGUGAGGGAAAGAUGAAAAGAACUUUGAAAAGAGAGUUAAACAGUACGUGAAAUUGUCAAAAGGGAAGCGUUUGACACCAGUGUUGUUUUCUCGAAAAUCAAUUAAAAAGUAUGGGAUUUUGUAUUGUUAAGACCUUAUCAGCUUACGGUACUUUUUUCUUGCUCUUUUUAAUGCACUUUUCGUUUAACAAGUCAACAUCAAUUUCUUUUGUUGUAAAAGAGUCAUUGGAAGGUGGCUUUCACUUCGGUGAAAGUGUUUAUAGCCUUUGGCUUCUACAAUCGGAGAGAUUGAGGUCUGCAGCGUAGAUCCUUCGGGGUUAGAUACGUAGAUGCUAAGUUAUAGUUUUUAUAGACAACUUGUUGACUAUGAUUAAUCAUGUAGCUUACUCGUUUACGCUAUUUUACCUACGCUUAGGAUGUUGAUCUCUCACAGUCGAGC